rnacentral:rRNA from 1 species
AUGGAGGCGGCUCUGGUGAGUGCAGCAACGGGGGUCCUGAAGCCCGUCGUGGAGAAGCUGGCCACUCUGGUGGGCAGUGAGUACAAGCGAUUCAAGGGUGUUCGUGGCGAGAUCAAGUCCCUCACUCGUGAACUCGCUGCCAUGGAUGCUUUUCUUCUAAAAAUGUCAGAGCAGGAGGAUCUUGAUGAGCAAGAUAAGGUGUGGAUGAAUGAGGUGCGUGAACUCUCCUAUGAGAUGGAGGAUUUCAUCGACAACUUCAUGAAAGGUGUUGGCGACAAAGAUACUAAGCCGGAUGGCUGUGUUGAGAUGAUCAAGAACUUGCUAGGGAAGUUGGGGAAGAUGAAGACUCGUCGUCGUAUGGGCAAGGAGAUCCAAGAUUUGAAGAAACAAAUUGUUGAAGUCGGAGACAGGAAUGCAAGGUACAAGACUGGAGUGGCUAUCUCCAACACCAAAAAUGCAACGAUUGACCCUCGAGCUCUUGCUAUCUUUGAGCAUGCUUCAAAGCUCGUGGGAAUUGAUCAACCGAAGUCAGAGAUUAUCAAAUUGUUGACCGAAGAGGAUGGAUGUGCAACAAAGCAACAACAACUUAAGAUGCUCUCCAUCGUUGGCUCCGGAGGAAUGGGCAAGACAACUCUUGCAAACCAAGUGUAUCAAGAGAUGAAAGGAGAAUUCAAGUGUCAUGUGUUUAUAUCAGUGUCACGAAACCCAGACAUGGUGAAUAUAUUGAGAACUAUUCUCAGUGAAGUUGCUAAAAAAGAUUAUGCUCACACAGAAGCUCGGGAUGAACAACAACUUCUCUCCAAAAUCUCCAAUUUCCUUAUUGACAAAAGCUACUUUAUUGUUGUUGACGAUAUAUGGAAGACGAAAACAUGGGAUGUAAUUAAAUGUGCAUUCCCAAUGACUAGUUGUGGCAUAUUGAUCACCACUACUCGUUUGAAAGACGUCGCUAGUUCAUGCUGUUCAUCAGGUGGCCAUAUUUAUAAUAUAAGCCCUCUUGAUAUUGAUCACUCGAGACAAUUAUUUCAUGGAAGAUUAUUCCAGUCCUUAGAAGAUUGCCCUUCAUAUCUUGAAGAUGUUUCGGAGCAGAUCUUGAAAAAAUGUGAUGGCUUACCUUUGGCGAUCAUUGCUAUAUCUGGUUUGUUGGCUAACAAAGGAAAAACAAAGAAUAUUUGGAAUCAAGUAAAAGAUUCAAUUGGUCGUGCACUUGAAAGAAAUCCUAGUGUGGAAGCAAUGAUAAAGAUAUUAUCACUCAGUUACUUUGAUCUACCUCCCCAUCUAAAAACAUGUCUCUUAUAUCUGAGCAUAUUUCCAGAAGAUUCUAUUAUUGAGAGGAAGGACCUGAUCAGGAGAUGGAUUGCUGAAGGAUUCAUUCGCAAAGAAGGCACAUAUACUGUACAUGACUUAGGAGAGAUGUAUUUUAAUGAGCUUGUCAAUAGGAGUUUGAUACAACCCGUGGAGACAAGCAGCAGAUAUUAUAGGGUGGAAAAUUGUCGGGUUCAUGACAUAAUUCUCGAUUUCAUCAUAUCCAAGUCCAUGGAACAGAACUUUGUUACUUUACUUGGUGUUCCCAAUCUGUCCAUUAGGACACAAAGCAAAGCUUGUCGGCUUGCUUUGCACGCCGGGGAGCAUGGAAAUUCUUCGACACCAACAGGCAUGGUACUGUCGCAUAUCCGGUCACUUAAUGUGUUUGGGAAUUCUGUGGAGAUCCCUUCUUUGGAUGAGUUCAUGCAUUUGCGUGUGCUAGACUUUGGAGGUUGCACGCAAUUGGAAAAUCACCAUCUAGUAAAUAUAGGGAGGUUGUUUCAGUUGAGGUAUUUAAACCUGAGAAGGACAAGAAUAAGUGAGCUUCCAGAACAAAUCAGUUAUGCACGGUGCUUACAAAUGUUGGACCUUAGGCAGUCAUAUGUACGUGAACUACCUGCAUCUAUUGUCAAUCUCAGAAAUUUAUUGCAUCUACUUGUAGACAAUGAUGUUAAAUUUCCUGGUGAAAUCAAGAAGAUGCAGUCACUAGAGACAUUGAAAGGGGUCGAUGUCUUGAAUCAACCAAUAAAAUUUCUGCAAGAACUCGGCCAGCUAAAGAAUCUGAGGAAGCUGCACCUGGAUUUUGAACAUGAUUCUGCCAAUGGGGAUACAGCAAGGGUUAAGGAUUGCACAAAAGCUAUUGCUUCUUCUCUCUGUAAACUAGGCACACACAAUCUCCGCUCUCUUACUAUUCUUGAUGGUCAUAGCUUCUUACAAGCACCACCCUGCCCUGCUCCACUUAGCCUCCAAAAACUUAUGACCUGGCAAUCAGCCAUCCCGCAGGUUCCGAAUUGGGUGAGCUCCCUUGUCAACCUGCAACAUUUACGCCUUGAAGUGAAGGGAGUUGGGCAGGAAGAUCUUCACAUCCUUGGAGGAUUACCUUCUCUGUUGGUUCUGGACCUAGAAGGAACAGCACCAUCUAAACAUAGGCUCAAAGUGAGUGGUGCGGUUGGGUUCCGAUGGUUGAAGUUUUUCUAUUAUGAUGCAAAUUUCCAUUCAAUAGAUUUGACAUUUGAGGCAGGAUCCAUGCCCAAACUAGAAAAUCUUGAGAUUCAAGGCACACUUGAAAUAGGGUCUCUAGAUUUGGGCAUCGAGAACCUCCCCUGCCUUGUUACUGUCAAAUGUAAAAUAGUUGGUAACGCUGGCACAUUUGUGGCUGCAAUGGACACUAUGGAGAUAGCAGCCAGUGCACAUCCCAACCAUCCUAUUCUACUCAUUGGGCGGCCAUGA